rnacentral:rRNA from 1 species
CCGGUCCGGUAAAUCCCUGGGUAAAUCGGGAAGCUCAACUUCCCGAAUUCCGGGGAGACUGCCGGACUUGGGACCGGGAGAGGCUAGAGGUACUUCUGUGGUAGGGGUAAAAUCCUGUAAUCCUGGAAGGACCACCGGUGGCGAAGGCGUCUAGCUAGAACGGAUCCGACGGUGAGGGACGAAGCCCUGGGUCGCAAACGGGAUUAGAUACCCCGGUAGUCCAGGGUGUAAACGCUGCAGACUUGGUGCUGGGGGCCCUUCGGGGGCGUCCAGUGCCGGAGAGAAGUUGUUAAGUCUGCUACUUGGGGAGUACGUCCGCAAGGAUGAAACUUAAAGGAAUUGGCGGGGGAGCACCGCAACGGGAGGAGCGUGCGGUUUAAUUGGAUUCAACACCGGAAAACUCACCAAGGGCGACUGUUACAUGAAGGCCAGGCCGACGACCUUGCCGGAUUUUCAGAGAGGUGGUGCAUGGCCGUCGUCAGUUCGUACCGUAAGGCGUUCUCUUAAGUGAGAUAACGAACGAGACCCUCACCGAUAAUUGCUACUUCUUCCUCCGGGGAGGAGGCACAUUAUCGGGACCGCUGGCGCUAAGCCAGAGGAAGGAGAGGUCAACGGUAGGUCAGUAUGCCCCGAAUCUCUUGGGCUACACGCGCGCUACAAAGGGCGGGACAAUGGGCUCCGACGCCGAGAGGCGGAGGCAAUCCCGAAACCCGUCCGUAGUUCGGACUGAGGGCUGUAACCCGCCCUCAUGAAGCUGGAUUCCGUAGUAAUCGCGAAUCAACAACUCGCGGUGAAUAUGCCCCUGCUCCUUGCACACACCG